GCUUAGCGUUGUUGCCCGGAACAGGAAGUAGGUCUGAGCCACGUGGGAGGAGACAAUUGUGCCUUUGAGCAAUAACUAAUUGAUCUAUUGUUUACAAGGGAAAGCCCGAACAAUUAGUGCCCAUGACCCGGGUUCUUUUCUUUGGCCGUCUUGUGCAAGUUGACCCCUGGACCGGACCCCACCAACCACCGGGGACCAUUACGAAUUAAGGUGGACGCCGUCGGGGCUCUGCUGAAGAAGACGCGUCGGACCUGAGCUGAUUGGAGCAGUGCGGCGGGGAUUGCCGGUCAUACGAUGAAGAGUCUGCGUCCAAGACAAAGAGAGAAACAUUUUUUAACAGUCCGCAGGGCUUUUGCAGAGGAGACUGUGCUUGCUCUUAUGGCGAGGAGAGGCCUUUUCGAACCUCCUCUGGUAUCACAAGGAAGCUUGGAGGCAAGGAAGGAGAAAGGGAAGGAGUGAAACGUGAUAUGACGUUGCCGUUCUGAGCGAGAGAGACGCCACUGUCUGCUUGACCGCCACCACCCUGUAACCUCUGCCACCGACCCAGCGUGAAGACAACCCUACACACUGACCAGGACUGUCUUAUGUACAUUUACUUAUUUGUCCACUGACGGCAUGUCGUCUCAAAAUGUACAGAAAUGGCUGAAUAAAA